rnacentral:misc_RNA from 1 species
UACAGCGAAUUUGGUAUUUAUUAGUAGUUUAUUGCAAGUUAAGUUGGCUGCGAUUUGGCCCACUUCCUUUUCCGUGUUAGCUGUGAAAGAAAAAACAUGCCGCUAGCAAAAGAUUUACUGCACCCUCUGCCCGCUGAGGAGAAACGCAAGCACAAGCUGAAGCGCUUGGUGCAGCAUCCCAACUCCUACUUCAUGGAUGUCAAGUGCCCGGGAUGCUACAGAAUCACAACCGUGUUCAGUCACGCCCAGGGCGUUGUGGUCUGCGCCGGCUGCGCCACCAUUCUGUGCCAGCCAACUGGCGGACGUGCCAAGCUGACAGAAGGCUGCUCGUUCCGUAGGAAGCCACAGUAAUUUGGGGCGCUUCUCGAUGAACCACAAAUUAUUAAUUUUUUAAUAAACACUCUAAAAACGCGUCGCAUAUUUGCCAAUUGGAUUGUGGAUACAAGUGACAAGCAACAACAACAUUUCGGCAGCGGCGGCAGCAGCAACAGCAACAAUUUUGAUAAUAAUUAGUUUAAAACUGCAUGUGUAAAAGCAACAACAACAUCAGGCGAGGCGCACAAUGUCGAAAUUAGGAUUGAGCAGAAACUGGCUGUAAAAUAGAGAAAACGCUUUUUAUAUAAUGA